ACAGCAUUUCAACUGAAGAGGUCGUUCAGUAAAAUGUAUUGACAUGGUCUGUCAUCUGCAGGCAAGCAGAGUGCUGACCCAGGCUUCAGAGCUGCCUUUGAGGCGGGGAAGUAAUAGGAAUUUCUCUCAUCCAUCUUCAUAUCUCCACUGGGAAAUUCCUAGAGGGGUUCUGUGGAGGCUGAUUGCCAAAAGCCUAAUUUGGAUAGAAGGUCUUUCUGUAUUCCUGAUCGACAGAUAUAGUCAGUUUUGAAGAAAGCUAUUUAUUGUACUGAUGGGUCCUGUUGGCAGCCAUGGCAUGUCCACAGAUGUCAUUCAGUGGAGAGGCAGAUUUGGUGACUUUUUACUGUUUUCUAGGAUGUGCACGGAGCUUCAAUUUUGUAUUGCCGUAUCAAUGCCUCCUGCUGCCAACAGUGCUGAAGAGAAGGAACACAGGGAGUGUAGACUGUGUCCCUAAAGCUUAAUCCUAAGGAUGGGAUGGGGGCAGCUUGGUUUUCCAACUUGGAAGUUUGAAGUGAUACUUGAAUUGUUUUUUCUUAAUUCUGGAAUUCAUUGCUGCAUCUGAUAGAGGGCUCAGAGGCUGGAGGAUCAGUAUCACAAGACUAAAACAUUUUCUUCUGUGGUUCUAUCAUGCAGAAUGAUUUUGCUGUCUGUUUUCCAGAUGUGUUUCAGACAUAUUCUGUUAAAAAGGGCUUCAUGGUUCUUGGGUGCACCUUCUAAUAGAUGCAUAUGAUAGCAUAAGCCAUAGAUUUAGCUAUUAUGUUUGCAGUAUCCUCGAGUACUAAAUUCCCUCGACACAUUUUUGAAGCCUGAAUGCAAAGAAACUCUUUCAUUUUCAGAGUAGACUUUAAUUUUGUUAAUUAAUUUUCAAAGUAAUUACUACUUGUGCUCCAGGAGUAAGCUAUUUGGAAGAAACAAGAAGCAAACAGGUUUUAUAACUAGCUAAAAGGCAUAAAUAUGUUAAGUUUCUAGUUAUUAAAGCUAACCUUAUAAACAUACACAUUUUUGAAAUUCUAAGCAGAUCUAUUAAAUUGUUGUUUCUUUGGAAAGUACAUAUAAAGCAAAUUAAGUGACUGUUUCUGCAAACCGAAAGUUGCUUUGUUAUAUAGAUUAUAGUAGACUCAAGUCCUUCUUCCUGCCACAUUCACUACAAUAAAUCAGGUGUAAUU
rnacentral:lncRNA from 7 species